rnacentral:sRNA from 1 species
CUCUUGCGUUAGCGAUUGCAGUGGCAUCCUUUUUAGCCAUGAUACCGAUAUGUUUUAAUUGAAGACUAAAGUCGAUGGGAUUAAACAUGCUGAGGAAAGUUAAUAUUGAAUAAAAAGAUAUAACGGAAAGCGCGACCUUUA